CACAUCUUGAAUGUGGACGAUGCAAUGACAGUGCUCCCUAAACUGGCCACAGAUCUGGAUGUCAAUGUGCACUUCACAGGCAUCUCAGACUUUGAGUAUACACUGGAAUGCAGCAUCUUUGACUUGCUGGGGAUACCUCAAUACCAUGACUGGCUUGUGGAUCCACAGAGUCCUGAGGCUUGAGUGCUAUUGGAAAGCUGAGUUACAACCAGCUGGUAGAGAAGACCAUCACCAGUCAACACUCUAGUGACUCCGACCUCAUGACAGAAGGCUUGACUGCGGAGCAGUUCCUGGAGACCACUGCAGCAGAGCUGACCUACCAUGGCCUGUACAGGCUCACAGCAACUGCUAAGGAAGAUGAACUUAGUGUCAUUCUUCAAAACAACCGCUUUAGCACGAUGACUAAGCACAAGGGUCACUUGUACCUACUGGUCACUCACCAAGGUUUUAUACAGGAGGUGUAUAUGGUAUGGGAGAGCUUGCAUAACUUGGAUGGACAGCUGCUUUUGUGACUCUGACUUUCACCUAAGUCAUUCCCUAGGCCAAAGCCAUGGAGCAGAGGUGGGAGUGGCUCUCCAGAGAAGCAGCUGCAGGUGGACCAGGACUACCUAAUGGCACCCAAUUUACAGCAAUUAGAACCCAAGCUGACAGCCUAA